GUGAGAUAUAAAUAAGGAAGAUAAUCUGUAAGGUGUGUGGAUUAAUUGAAAGUUGACUAUAAACCAAGUAGAAUAAUAUCUUUAUACAGAAAUUCCUGGAUGUAUUAAGGUAAUAUUUGUAGACAGACUUUAUGCUUAAAGAUAUGAGAUAGCUCUAACCUACUGAAUAGUAAUGAAAACACUAGCAAUGGUGAGUAUUAUUUUAACACCCAAAGCCCCUGGGCACUGUUUUUUUAGAAAACUCCUCAGACUAUUAAUGAGAUGGCUCAAGUGGUAAAGUGACUGCCACAAAAGCACGCAGACUUGAGCUCAGUCCUCAGCAGCCACAUAAAAACAAACAAAACCAAAAACCUGGCUGUUAAUGGUGUAUGAUUGUAAUCCCAGCCCUGGGGAGACAGAAGCAGGCAGACCCCUGGGGCUCACUUGAUCAGGCUGGCUACCUUAAAUGCUGAACCCCAGAUGCCAGUGAGAUAACCCUGUCUCCAAAAACGGGUCAGCUGUCUCCUGAGGAGCAACAUCCAAGUUCACCUAUAAAUGAAUGAGCGCACAUUUGUGUAUCCACGCAUCUACCAUUUGUUGGGUGUGCCUUCUGGUAAGUACUUCUUACUUAACUCUAAUAUGGUCUACACCACACUUCUUUUCUUGUAUUGUUUUGUUUUGUUUUUCGAGACAGGGUUUCUCUGUAUAGCCCUGGCUGUCCUGGAACUCACUUUGUAGACCAGGCUGGCCUCAAACUCAGAGAUCUGCCUGCCUCUGCCUCCCGAGUGCUGGAAUUAAAGGCGUGUGCCACCACACCUGGCUUUACACCACACUUCUUGCAGGUCUCACAAGGUCACUUGACCUUCGGAAUGCAGCGGUCACUGGCAGCAAUUCCAGACCUUCCUGUCCUCGCUUUUCUCAUUAAGCUUAGCUCUCCUCCCAGCGUACUGCACAGAUACCUAUUCUGCGCUACAGAAAUCCGGGCCAGCAGGUCUCUAUCUUGGCUCCGAAGGGCGCCGCGACACGGCUGAAUUGGAUAACAAAGUCCUCAAACUGCUCCACCUCGCCCUGAAUAAGACCUUAGAGAGCAGACCUCAGGACCAGAACAGAAGCGCUGCUCCAAGCCCCGCCCACAACGCCCGUUCCGCCCACAAAGGCCCCGCCUACAAAGGCCCCCCAGACCGGCGUGCUUUGCGCCUGCUCAGUCCGGCGCGGGAGCGGCGUGUUCUAAGGUUGCUACCGAGUUGCUUUACACCUGGCUGCCAAUGGGAGAGCUGAUUCUGUGAAGCCUGAGGUGUCGGACUCUGGAUGGAACCCAUACUCUCAGCCACAAUGCAGUGUCACUUCAGUUAGGAACACUGUGGCCCCGGAGGUUGUUUAGCCCACAACCUGACAGAACCAUCGGCUGACUUCUCUUAUUCUUGGCCAGUC
rnacentral:lncRNA from 1 species